ensembl:lncRNA
GGGGAUAUUGGCAGGACGUGUUAAUCAUCAUCAAAAGUGAGGGGCGGUACUAGGAAUGUGGGGAAAUUCCACACUUCCCUGAAUUUAAUAUUUCCAGCAGCAAUGAGGCUUAUCAGGAAGAUAAAGGCAGCAGGAAACCGUGGCCUCAGGAUGGAGAGUGUGGAUGGAGUACAUCAUUUGUUCAGAGAGAACGAGAGACUCUCCCGAGGGGCACGUUUGUCUGGGAUGCUUGCUGAUGGGAUCCUCACACCUGCUGGACCGCUGUGUCUUCUCCGGUUUCAAAUAAGAGACGCCACAUAAGCUCAGAGUUCAUCUCCUGAACAAAGUAUGGAAAGUAAAGUUGGAGUUGGCGGAAAGAUGCCAG